rnacentral:rRNA from 1 species
UACGUAGGGGGCAAGCGUUGUCCGGAUUUAUUGGGCGUAAAGAGCGUGUAGGCGGCCUGGUAGGUCAGCUGUGAAAACUCGAGGCUCAACCUCGAGACGCCGAUGGAAACCAUCUGGCUAGAGUCCGGAAGAGGAGAGUGGAAUUCCCGGUGUAGCGGUGAAAUGCGCAGAUAUCGGGAAGAACACCCGUGGCUAAGGCGGCUCUCUAGUACGGUACUGACGCUGAGACGCGAAAGCGUGGGGAGCGAACAGG